CCUACGGGUGGCAGCAGUGAGGAAUAUUGGACAAUGGGCGCGAGCCUGAACCAGCCAAGUAGCGUGAAGGAUGACUGCCCUACGGGUUGUAAACUUCUUUUAUAAAGGAAUAAAGUGAGGCACGUGUGCCUUUUUGUAUGUACUUUAUGAAUAAGGAUCGGCUAACUCCGUGCCAGCAGCCGCGGUAAUACGGAGGAUCCGAGCGUUAUCCGGAUUUAUUGGGUUUAAAGGGAGCGUAGAUGGGUUGUUAAGUCAGUUGUGAAAGUUUGCGGCUCAACCGUAAAAUUGCAAAUGAUAAUGGCAGCCUUGAGUACAGGUGGGGGAGGCGGAAUUCGUGGUGUAGCGGGGAAAUGCUUAGAUAUCGCGAAGAACUCCGAUUGCGAAGGCAGCCUACUAGACUGCCACUGACAUUGAUGCUCGAAGGUGUGGGUAGCAAACAGGAUUAGAUACCCGGGUAGUC
rnacentral:rRNA from 1 species